UCUCUUUCUUCUGUUCUUCCGUCGUCGGGAAUGGCGCAUCGGUUGCUUAGAGACGCGCAGGCCGACGGAUGGGAGCGCUCCGACUUCCCCAUCAUCUGCGAAUCGUGCCUCGGUGACAACCCCUAUGUUCGAAUGACAAGGGCAGAUUAUGACAAGGAGUGUAAGAUCUGCACACGGCCAUUUACAGUCUUCAGGUGGAGACCGGGACGUGAUGCAAGAUACAAAAAGACAGAGAUCUGCCAGACAUGCUGUAAGCUGAAAAAUGUGUGCCAGGUCUGCCUCCUGGAUCUUGACUAUGGGUUGCCUGUUCAGGUUCGGGACACUGCCUUGUCGAUCAAUUCCAAUGAUGCAAUCCCAAAGAGCGACGUGAAUAGGGAGUACUUUGCAGAAGAGCAUGACCGCAGGGCUAGAGCUGGCAUUGAUUAUGAGUCUUCAUAUGGAAAGGUGCGUCCAAAUGACACCAUUUUAAAGCUUCAAAGGACAACACCGUAUUACAAAAGGAAUCGCGCACAUGUCUGUAGCUUUUAUGCGCGUGGUGAAUGCACACGUGGUGCUGAAUGUCCGUAUCGGCAUGAGAUGCCUGUUACUGGGGAGUUAUCCCAGCAGAACAUAAAAGAUCGGUAUUAUGGAGUGAAUGACCCAGUCGCUCUGAAGCUCUUAAGCAAGGCAGGUGAGAUGCCAUCUCUGACUCCCCCAGAUGAUGAGAGCAUUAGGACACUGUACGUUGGGGGCCUUGAUGCCCGAAUCACCGAGCAGGAUCUGAGGGAUCACUUCUAUGCCCAUGGUGAGAUUGAGUCGAUCAGGAUGGUGCUCCAAAGAGCUUGUGCCUUUGUGACGUACACAACAAGAGAAGGAGCAGAGAAGGCUGCAGAGGAGCUAGCCAACAAGCUUGUUAUUAAAGGAAUGCGUCUGAAGCUGAUGUGGGGAAGGCCACAGGCCUCCAAACCAGAGGGCGAGGUACCAGAUGAUGAGGCUGCAAGGCAAGGGCUCAUGGCACAUGGAGGGAUGCUUCCAAGGGCUGUUAUAUCCCAGCAACAAAGCAACCAGCAGCCUCAACCACCAGGCACACAGGACCAACAGCAGCCACCACUGCACUACUUCAACAUUCCAGCGCCACCCCCAGCGGAACGAACCUUCUACCCCUCGAUGGAUCCUCAGAGAAUGGGUGCUGUAGUACCGUCCCAGGAAUCUAGUGAUGGCAAAGGGGGUUCAGACAAGCAGCCAGCGCAGCAGCAGGGACUGCUGCGAGCACCAAAUAGCUCAGGGCAAGCAUUCCCUGUUUUGCCGCCACAUCUUCAGGGCCAGUACCCACAGUAUUAUGCACCAUAUGGGUACAUGGCCCCACCAUAUCAGCAGCAGUAUCCUCCUUACCAGUCAAUGAUGGCUCCACCCCCACCUCCGCCUGCACCUCCUGCAGUGCAGCAGUACCCUCCAGGUGCACCUGCAUCGUCUUCUCAGAGUUGAGAUCGUUUUUGAGUGUAUUUCUCCUUUUAGAUUCAUCUGCUCUUUGCUACCCAUUGAAUCAGAGAUAUUGUUGCCAGGCAAUCAGAAGGAGCUUUCCACCGUGAGAGCAAAAAUUCCUGUUUGAUGUGCCGUAGCUCGAAGAGCAUGCAGCCGAACCAUGUUGCAAUUGCACCCGAAUUCCAAGCCGAUUGUGCCAAAUGCGGUGGAUGUUCAGGGUUUGGAUUUUCAAGAUAACAGGUUUCUGAAACGGUAAAAUCCUUGUCUUUCGAUUCGUGCUUGCAGAGCCCGUCCAGGUUUUACAGGUCAUUUGUGAUGGCAGGAUGGAAUUCAUCUGUAUCAGUUUGAUACCACUUUGAAGGAUAGUUUUAGAGAUUCUUCUAUUGUUAGAUUAUACUUCGUG